rnacentral:rRNA from 1 species
AGUGAACGCUGGCGGUAGGCCUAACACAUGCAAGUCGAACGGCAGCACAGUAAGAGCUUGCUCUUACGGGUGGCGAGUGGCGGACGGGUGAGGAAUACAUCGGAAUCUACUUUUUCGUGGGGGAUAACGUAGGGAAACUUACGCUAAUACCGCAUACGACCUACGGGUGAAAGCAGGGGAUCUUCGGACCUUGCGCGAUUGAAUGAGCCGAUGUCGGAUUAGCUAGUUGGCGGGGUAAAGGCCCACCAAGGCGACGAUCCGUAGCUGGUCUGAGAGGAUGAUCGGCCACACUGGAACUGAGACACGGUCCAGACUCCUACGGGAGGCAGCAGUGGGGAAUAUUGGACAAUGGGCGCAAGCCUGAUCCAGCCAUACCGCGUGGGUGAAGAAGGCCUUCGGGUUGUAAAGCCCUUUUGUUGGGAAAGAAAAGCAGCAGGUUAAUACCCCGCUGUUCUGACGGUACCCAAAGAAUAAGCACCGGCAAACUUCGUG